GGGACCGACUUGGUUUCGACGUGGAUUGCGAAGCAUGCAGGGCAUACCGAGGACCCGUUAUCUCGUAAAUCAAUGGGAUUGUAAUAACUGCUAACGACGAACGUUACGCACUAGCAGCCUAAGGGCUGUCGCCCUCGAACCAGUUUGCCGAUAGACUGGGGUAGAAAUACCAUUCGAGGUCAUUUAUAUCGGAUCGUGUCGUUGAGGGUCGCUAUCAACGAAGCUAGAACUAAAGCGAAUCGUUUAAUCAAAGCAUGUUGGUCUGCGCUGGUUGAAUUAAAUCAAAUGACACAACUAAGUAUGUAGAACUUCAUGUAGAGGAUUUGCGGACGCGGGUUCGAUUCCCGCCGGUUCCAC
rnacentral:tmRNA from 1 species